AGCAGAGUAGACUGCUGCGCGUGAAGUGCCGCCGGAACGGGGAGUUGUCCGACGGACGAAAGGAAAGAUUCCUUCCUGCGGUGCAGCUGUCGCAUCCCGCUGCA
rfam:Butyricicoccus pullicaecorum 1.2 genomic scaffold acBRa-supercont1.1, whole genome shotgun sequence.